rnacentral:lncRNA from 1 species
GGGGACGUGGCUGAAGUCAGUCGGGCCGCCCGCUUGCUGCACGGCAGCCGUGGGACUGGCACAGGCUCCUCGGCAGCAUUAUGGGCAGCUGGUAGAGCGGCCACUUCUGAGAGCCGGAUGGGCCUUCCGAGGUCGGGCCGUGCCCCGCUGGGCAGCGCAGAGGGGGUGUGUAGGGCACGCGACUUGGAGCCAGGUCCAGACCCAUCCUGGCUCCUCUCAGGGCUCCUUCCCCUGCCCCCAUUCCACCCCAGCCCUGCUGGCUGUCCCGCAGGACCCAGCGCCGCGGUAGCCUUCUCUGAACUGCGGCUCAGGCGGAGGUGUCACUCCUGCCUCCAGCCCAGGAGGGCAGGUCAGGUUAUGCAACGCGUGCCGCGCGAUCUCCCCCCACCUCCAACCCCCUUUUCUCCCGGGUCCACACCGCAGUUCCCACCGCUCCGGGUGUCCUCCCCAGUGCGCCGCGAUUUUUGUGUCCAAGCCCCAGAGUCCCUCUGAGACCAACCCCCAGCCAGCACAGACUUCCUGCCUUCCCAGCUCGGAAGCGCCCUCGAGAAGUGUCUAAAGGAGACAGUUGAUAGCCAAACAACAGUUUUGGAUUCACUGACUGAUUAUGAAAGAAGCAGUAGACUGGUAUC